AGGACAGUAUGUGAAAGAAAUGGCUAAGAGGCAGUUGGAGCGUGCAGAAUCUGGUUCUUUCUCCUGUGCAGAGUGAGAAGGCACAGGGACGGCAAAACGAGAUAAGGGGAAGGCCCUUUGUGUACCACCACAGACUGGAACAACUAGUACUGGAGAAGUUGCAGAGAGCUCUCCAUCGGUAUCCAGAGGCAACAGAAAGAAUUAUUGAUCAAGUAGGGUUGGCUUGAUCUUCUGAGGAUUCAAAGACACCCUUCAGUGAGGCACUUCCUCCAAACCUAUCACACCUACUCUAAGAAGACCACACUUAGCAAGACAGUGUAAUCCCGGACGAAAAGCAAAAGCAAAA
rnacentral:sRNA from 1 species